AUUGAACGCUGGCGGCAGGCCUAACACAUGCAAGUCGAACGAGUGGCGGACGGGUGAGUAAUGUCUGGGAAACUGCCUGAUGGAGGGGGAUAACUACUGGAAACGGUAGCUAAUACCGCAUACCAUCGGAUGUGCCCAGAGGGGAUUAGCUAGUAGGUGGGGUAACGGCUCACCUAGGCGGCGAUCCCUAGCUGGUCUGAGAGGAUGACCGCGCAAACUGGAACGGAGACACGGUCCAAACUCCUACGGGAGGCAGCAGUGGGGAAUAUUGCACUAUGGGCGCAAGCCUGAUGCAUCCAUGCCGCGUGUAUGAAGAAGGCCUUCGGGUUGUAAAGUACUUUCAGCGGGGAGGCUUUACCCGCAGAAGAAGCACCGGCUAACUCCGUGCCAGCAGCCGCGGUAAUUC
rnacentral:rRNA from 1 species